rnacentral:sRNA from 1 species
GUUUGCACUUAUCGGGGAAGGGUGAGAACCUUCGAUUAAGGUUCGACUCGAGCGAAAGCGAGAGAACGUUGCCAACGGCAACGGCCCGUAGGGU